rnacentral:rRNA from 1 species
GACGAACGCUGGCGGCGUGCUUAACGCAUGCAAGUCGUACGGUAAGGCCCUUUCGGGGGUACACGAGUGGCGAACGGGUGAGUAACACGUGAGUAACCUGCCCACAACUUUGGGAUAACGCUAGGAAACUGGUGCUAAUACUGGAUAUGUGCUCCUGCUGCAUGGUGGGGGUUGGAAAGCUCCGGCGGUUGUGGAUGGACUCGCGGCCUAUCAGCUUGUUGGUGGGGUAGUGGCCUACCAAGGCGGCGACGGGUAGCCGGCCUGAGAGGGUGACCGGCCACAUUGGGACUGAGAUACGGCCCAGACUCCUACGGGAGGCAGCAGUGGGGAAUAUUGCACAAUGGGCGCAAGCCUGAUGCAGCAACGCCGCGUGCGGGAGGACGGCCUUCGGGUUGUAAACCGCUUUCAGCAGGGACGAAGCUUUUUGUGACGGUACCUGCAGAAGAAGCACCGGCUAACUACGUG